rnacentral:rRNA from 1 species
GAUGAACGCUGGCGGCGUGCUUAACACAUGCAAGUCGAACGGGAUCCAAGGGGUGCUUGCACUUUUUGGUGAGAGUGGCGAACGGGUGAGUAACACGUGAGUAACCUGUCCUUUUCUUUGGGAUAAGCAUUCGAAAGGGUGUUUAAUACCUUAUGUUCUGUCUGCCUCGCAUGGGGUGGGUGGGAAAGGCUUUGGCCGGAUUUGGGUGGGCUCGCGGUCUAUCAGCUUGUUGGUGGGGUGAUGGCUUACCAAGGCUUUGACGGGUAGCCGGCCUGAGAGGGUGGUCGGUCACAUUGGGACUGAGAUACGGCCCAGACUCCUGCGGGAGGCAGCAGUGGGCGAUAUUGCACAAUGGGCGAAAGCCUGAUGCAGCGACGCCGCGUGGCGGAUGAAGGCCUUCGGGUUGUAAACUUCUUUUGCUCUGAACAAGGCAUGCCAGUGGGUGUGUGGAGUGUAGGGGUUGAUUAGCGCCGGCUAACUACGUG